UUUCCUACGGGAGGCAGCAGUAGGGAAUUUUCGUCAAUGGGCGCAAGCCUGAACGAGCAAUGCCGCGUGAACGAGGAAGGUCUUCGGAUCGUAAAGUUCUGUUGAAGGGGAAAAAGAGCGGAGAGAGGAAAUGGUCUCCGAUUGAUAUUACCCUUCGAGGAAGUCACGGCUAACUACGUGCCAGCAGCCGCGGUAAUACGUAGGUGGCGAGCGUUAUCCGGAUUUAUUGGGUUUAAAGGGUGCGUAGGCGGGACGGUAAGUCAGCGGUAAAAAUGCGGAGCUCAACUCCGUCGAGCCGUUGACAC
rnacentral:rRNA from 1 species